rnacentral:rRNA from 1 species
UACGUAGGUGGCAAGCGUUGUCCGGAUUUACUGGGCGUAAAGGGCGCGUAGGCGGCCCGCACAAGUCUGCGGUGAAAACCCCCGGCUUAACCGGGGGCCGGCCGUGGAAACUGUCGGGCUGGAGGCCGGGAGAGGGCAGCGGAAUUCCCGGUGUAGCGGUGAAAUGCGUAGAGAUCGGGAGGAACACCGGCGGCGAAGGCGGCUGCCUGGACCGGCCCUGACGCUGAGGCGCGAAAGCUAGGGGAGCAAACAGG